GGGCGGUGGGCGACGGGCGGGGCCGUGCGCCCGCCCGAACCCGGAGCGCGGCUCGGCGCCUGGUCGCGGCCGCUCGGGGAGGGGUUGGGUCACGUUCCGUUCCGGGGCCCGGCGACUCCGGGGCAGGUUCCGCGGGCGCCGCUGGGAGGAGCCGGGUGGCCGGGGGAGGCGGCCCCGCGGCCUCCUCCUUCCGCGCCCGCGCGCCGGCUGCCCCCGGGGCCCCCGAUCCCCGACCCUCGGGCCGGGUCUCGGCCGCGUAGGGCUGCGCCCCAACAGGUAUUUCAGGGUUUCCCCCUUCUCCCCGCCCCAGCGAGGCGCAGAGCCUUUUCCUCCUCUUUGGGCUGUUUCCAGCUGCCUCCCCAGGGUGAAGAAACGCAAACAAUGAUUUGAGAGAAUUACAAUCGCUCUUUUAAAAGUGACGAAUCCAAAAUGCAGGGCACUGCCGGCUCUUAGGAGAGAGAAGUUACAGGAGGAAAAGGAGUCCAUCUGAAGAGGGAAGCGCGAGGGAGCCCUUGAGGCAGUUAAAGCAGCUGAAGGCCAUAGAUGCAGAGCCGACUUUCUGCCUCUGCCUCUGACCUCCUUAAGCCUUCUGCAGGGGCGAGACGAUCUCUUCCGCGGCACGCUGUCCUCUGGUGGCCGGGGGAUGUUACUGCAGCUCCAAAGGGAUUACUAUCUACGCUCUAACAGGUAACCUCUAAAAAUCGACUGCCUACAGACCUGCUGUCUUCAGAACAGUUACCGAAGAGAGAGUUGGAGAGGAUCUGCAUCUCCAGUCUGCUUAGUUGGAGGAGUUGAGAUUCGGAAGGAAGGAGAAGAGAGAGAAUCCUUGUCCUAGACUAGAUCCUGGAUCUAUUGGAUUACAUGCUGAGCCCCAGUCGCCUUAUUCUGACACAUCUUGAAACCUCUCUCUCCUCUUUCUUCAUUGACAAUUAAAUUGGAGCACCUUCCAUAUGUAUGCUAUUA